GACGAACGCUGGCGGCGUGCUUAACACAUGCAAGUCGAACGGAAAGGCCCUUCGGGGUCCUCGAGUGGCGAACGGGUGAGUAACACAUGGGUGAUCUGCCCUGCACUUUGUGAUAAGCGUGGGAAACUGGGUCUAAUACCGAAUAGGAGCACGCGCUUCUUAACGUGUGGUGGCAAGCGUUUGCGGUGUGGGUUGUGUCGGCUGCCUAUCAGCUUGUUGGUGGGGUAAUGGCCUACCAAGGCGACGAGUGAUAGCCGACCCGAGAGGUUGACCGCCCACACGGCUACUGAGAGACGCAGCAGACUGCAAUCGGAGGCAGUGGGGGGGAAUAUUGCAGAACGGCGGCAAGUGUGUGAUAGCGAUGCUGCGAGAGUGAUGAUGUCUUUCGGGGUAUAAACAUAUGUCUAUGGGGACGAGGCGAAAUUGACGGUACCUAUAGAAGAAGCAACGGCUAACUACGUG
rnacentral:rRNA from 1 species